CAGAGUUCGUGCCCUCGCGGGUAGAUCUCCCACCCUUGUGUAUUCCUUACAUUUGUUGCUUUGGCAGGCCGUUGGUUCGCCAACCACCGGCUCUACGGGCUGGUGCGUGCCUGCCAGAGGACCCCCCAAACUCGGUUUGUUCGUGUCGUCUGAGUACCAUAACAAUCGUUA
rnacentral:misc_RNA from 1 species